UACAGAGGUCUCAAGCGUUGUUCGGAAUCACUGGGCUUACAGGGUGCGUAGGCGGCUUGUUAAGUAGGGUGUGAAAGCCCCCGGCUCAACCGGGGAAUUGCGCCCUAAACUGGCGAGCUGGAGUGAGAUAGGGGUGUGUGGAACUUCCGGUGGAGCGGUGAAAUGUGUUGAUAUCGGAAGGAACGCCGGUGGCGAAAGCGACACACUGGAUCUUGUCUGACGCUGAGGCACGAAAGCCAGGGGAGCGAACGGG
rnacentral:rRNA from 1 species